GAUGAACGCUGGCGGCGUGCCUAAUACAUGCAAGUCGAGCGAACAGACGAGGAGCUUGCUCCUCUGACGUUAGCGGCGGACGGGUGAGUAACACGUGGAUAACCUACCUAUAAGACUGGGAUAACUUCGGGAAACCGGAGCUAAUACCGGAUAAUAUAUUGAACCGCAUGGUUCAAUAGUGAAAGACGGUUUUGCUGUCACUUAUAGAUGGAUCCGCGCCGCUUUAGCUUGUUGGUAAGGUAACGGCUUACCAAGGCAACGAUGCGUAGGCGACCUGAGAGGGUGAUCGCCCACCUUGGAGCUGAGACACGGUCCAGACUCCUACGGGAGGCCGCAGUAGGGAAUCUUCCGCAAUGGGCGAAAGCCUGACGGAGCAACGCCGCGUGAGUGAUGAAGGUCUUCGGAUCGUAAAGCUCUGUUAUUAGGGAAGAACAAAUGUGUAAGUAACUAUGCACGUCUUGACGGUACCUAAUCAGAAAGCCCCGGCUAACUACGUG
rnacentral:rRNA from 1 species